GGAAGUGGAUGAGAUCUGGUGGUCUCGACGGUCUUCAAAACCGAUGUGGGCUUUAUUAGCCUUGGCAGGUUCGAUUCCUGCUCCUUCCGCCA
rnacentral:tRNA from 1 species